CUUAUACAUAAUUUAUUUGUUUUUAAUGAAAAGUGUCUCAGAAAAAUCUGUUAAAUUAUUGUCUGUUUCUUGUCUUUAUCAACUUUUGUCCCAAAGCUGACAAAUAUAAAGAGCUUCCCGAGAGACAACACCAAGUCACAGAAAAAUUAGCCAAUAUGUUUGCACAGUCCUCCUUAUACAGCGAAAUGAGAACUGAACUGGAUCCACUCUUGGGGGAACAGAAGGUGGGGAGGAGCUCAGCCUUGGAGGAGAUCACGUGUGUCACCCCUUUCUGGCAUCAGCUCUGGUGGAUUACCUGUCGUUCAUUCAAAAAAUUCCAGUGUUUUUCAUGGGUCACUGUGAUUCAGGCAAUUAUUGAAGUCAUAAUGGCUGUGGUUAUAGGUACUAUUUUCUAUUUCCUACAAGAUGAUUGUACUGAAGUCCAAAGGAGGUAAGCAAAUGAGAAAAAG
rnacentral:lncRNA from 1 species